UGAAUACGAGAUGCUACGGCGUCGAAGCAGUCUAUGUCAUACUUCCAAGAAAAGCUCGCACUGUCAUAAACAAAUAAUGCCUGUACCAUAACCGACACAGGUGGGUAGGUAGAGUAUACUAAGGGGCGCGAGAUAACUCUCUCUAAGGAACUCGGCAAAAUGACUCCGUAACUUCGGGAGAAGGAGUGCCUUAUUUAUAAGGUUGCAAUAACAAGAUCCAAGCAACUGUUUAUCAAAAACACAGGUCUCCGCUAAGUCGUAAGACGAUGUAUGGGGGCUGACGCCUGCCCAGUGCCAGAAGGUUAAAGAAGUUGGUUAGCAUUCGCGAAGCUGAUAACUGAAGCCCUGGUGAACGGCGGCCGUAACGAUAACGGUCCUAAGGUAGCGAAAUUCCUUGUCGGGUAAGUUCCGACCCGCACGAAAGGCGUAAUGAUUUGGAUACUGUCUCGGAGAGGGGCUCGGUGAAAUAGACUUGUCUGUGAAGAUGCGGACUACCUGCACCAGGACAGAAAGACCCUAUGAAGCUUUACUGUAACUUGAGAUUGAAAUUGGACUUUACUUGCGCAGUAUAGGUGGGAGGCGUUGAUAAUAUUCUUGCGGGAUUAUUUGAGCCAUCAGUGAGAUACCACUCUUGUAAUGUUAGAUUUCUAACUUUGUAUCAUUAUCUGGUCAAAGGACAGUUUCAGGCGGGCAGUUUGACUGGGGCGGUCGCCUCCUAAACGGUAACGGAGGCGCACAAAGGUUUCCUCUGAACGGGUAGAAAUCGUAUCUAGAGUGUAAAGGCAUAAGGAAGCUUGACUGUGAGACCUACAAGUCGAGCAGGGACGAAAGUCGGUCUUAGUGAUCUGACGGUGCUGAGUGGAAAGGCCGUCACUCAACGGAUAAAAGUUACUCUAAGGAUAACAGGCUGAUCUCCCCCAAGAGUUCACAUCGACGGGGAGGUUUGGCACCUCGAUGUCGGCUCAUCGCAUCCUGGGGCGGUAGUACGUCCCAAGGGUUGGGCUGUUCGCCCAUGAAAGCGGUACGCGAGCUGGGUUCAGAACGUCGUGAGACAGUUCGGUCCAUAUCCGGUGUAGGCGUUAGAAUAUUGAGAGGAGCCUUCUUUAGUACGAGAGGACCGAGAAGGACAUACCUCUGGUGUACCAGUUAUCGUGCCAACGGUAAACGCUGGGUAGCUAUGUAUGGAGUGGAUAACCGCUGAAAGCAUCUAAGUGGGAAGCCCACCUCAAGAUAAGUA
rnacentral:rRNA from 1 species